rnacentral:tRNA from 1 species
ACUCUUUUAGUAUAAACAGUACUAUUAACUUCCAAUUAAUCAGCUUCGAUAACACUCGAAAAAGAGUA